GCCUGGGUGGCUCAGUCGGUGAAGCGUCCGACUUCGGCUCGGGUCACGAUCUCGCGGUUCGUGGGUUCAAGCCCCACGUCAGGCU
rnacentral:tRNA from 1 species